GACGAACCGUGCGAACGUUGUUCGGAAUCCCUGGGCUUAAAGGGCGCGUAGGCGGGCCGGCCAGUCAGGGGUGAAAGCCCGCGGCUCAACCGCGGAAGUGCCUUUGAUACUGCCGGCCUCGAGGGAGGUAGGGGCGUGCGGAACUUCCGGUGGAGCGGUGAAAUGCGUAGAUAUCAGGAGGAACACCUGUGGUGUAGACGGCUUUCUGGACCAUAGCUGACGCUGAGACACGAAAGCGUGGGUAGCAAACAGG
rnacentral:rRNA from 1 species